rnacentral:tRNA from 3 species
GCCUGAGUGGCGGAACUGGUAGACGCAGCGGAUUCAAAAUCCGCCGGUGGUAACACCUUGAGAGUUCGAGUCUCUCCUUAGGCACCA